CAUAACUCGUCUGUUGAACUUACAGAGGAUUAACUGUCUCUUUUUUACAGCUAAUAUUUUGACAAAUGCUUAAGUUACUCUUUUGUCAGACAGCUUUUAACUUUGAAAAUCACUUACAGUAGGCUACUGUUAGGCUGUAUUCAUUAAAGAACAGGAUUUGACCUGCUGUGAUACCUCAGCUUCCGUACAGACACAAAGCCAGCAGACUGCCUGCUCGUGUGGGUAAUUUCCUCUGGGACAGCAGGCGGUGAGCGUGGUUAGGUGGUGUAGUACAGAUGUUUAGCGUGUGCAUAUGCGAACUCUGCACUUUUACUCCAGCUACUGACGCUGUGGAACCCAUCUGACCCAACAGAAACUCUAAAAAGGGUCAGCGGACAGCCCUGCACCGGGCAGCUGUUGUGGGAAACCGUGACGCCAUCUCUGCCCUCAUCCAAGGAGGCUGUGCACUUGAUCUACAAGACAAGGUCUGUUCAUUUGCAAUCAAUAAAUCAUCCUUUUUUUUCAUCAUGAAUAUUAAUAACAGAACUGUUGCAAUUUAAACGAAUCAAGACUGAAGUAUCUUGUUAGCUGUAAAUAAACCUGUCAGAUGUAAAAAUCCUGACUACUGUGGGAAUGAGUCAGUUUUUUUAAAUGAAAAACUCAAUUGCUAUAGAAUCUGAUUUUCAGGAAGGAAACACUGCUUUGCAUAAGGUAUCAUGGCAUGGCUUCAGUUGUGUAAGGCUAUUGGUCAAAGCUGGAGCCAGUGUCCAAGUGAAGAACAAAGUAAGUCAAUAUUUUCCAUUUACUUUAGGAUUAAAUCAGAUUUUAAUCAGAAUUUCUAUUUAAAAAUGUACAUUUUCUUGUUUGUUUUUUUUUAGAGACCCCGUCAAAUAAUUUGA